AGAACAGUGCCUGUCCAGGGGCACAAGGGUUCACUGAAGACUCAGGAGAGGGGUUUAGAGCACAGCCUCCCUCUCCAGGGUCAGGUUCACGGGAGCUGUUGGGGGCUCCUUCCCUCGCAGCAGUGACCACUCCAAGGACCACGGCCUGGACAUGAGCGGCAGCGGUGAGCUGGGAGCUGCUGGCCUGGAGUCUAGAUGAAUAUAGGCAGCAGCCAAAGGCCACAGUCACGACAAACCUACACACUCUCACCACUGUCAUCUCAUAUUGUCCUAAAAUUUCCAGCCAGUGCAAAAAAACAUGAAAAAGAAAAAAUACAGCCAUUGGAAAAGAGGAAAAGUAAUUGUUAUUAGCUGAUGAUGUGAAUGUCUUCCUGAAAACCUUAAGAGAACCAACUGGAAAACAACCAGAAAUGAGAGCAUGGAGUUAGGCAACCGCCGAUCUGCUUUCUGUCACUUGGGCGAGUUUUUCCCGUCCUGGGAUUUCAUAUCUCUGGAAUCCUGCAGUACGUAGCCCUCUGUCUGGCUUCCUCGCUCCGUGUAAUGUUCUUGAGAUUCAUCCAUGCAGCUGUGUAUACCUGCAGUGAUUGUUUCUCUUGUUGAAUUGCUGAGAAGGGUUCCAUCGUAUGCCUUUUCCAGUUUAUUUGUUCAUCUGUUGUUAGACAUUUGAGUUAUUUCCAGCUUGGGACUCUUAUGAACAAAACUGCUAUAAACAUGCAUAUUCAAGUCUUUGUGGAUAUGUGCUUUCUUUUGUCCUGGAUAAAUGUCUCCACGUGGGCUUCCUGGGUCUCACGGUAAGUGUAUGUUUCGCUUUCUGUACCGCUUUACAUUCUCAUCUUCCUCAUUCCCCGUUUCCCCGAUGACUAAGGACGUCAGCAACUGGUAUGGUCUGGAUCCUUGUCCUGGCCCAAAUCUCAUGUUCAGUUGUGAUCCCCAGUGUUGGAGGUGGGACCUGGUGGAGGUGACAGGAUCGUGGGGGUGGAUUUCCCCCUUGGCUACUGUUGUCACAAUAGUGAGUUAGUUCUCGUGAGAUCUUGUUGUUUAAAAGUGUGUAGCGCCUCCCAUCCAUCUCUCUUCCUCCUCCUCUGGCCAUGUGACGUGCCGGCUCCCCCUUCACCUUCCGCCAUGAUUGUAAGUUUCCUGGGGCCUCCCCAGAAGCAGAAGCCACUAUGCCUUCCCGCACAGACUGCAGAACCGUGAGCCAAUUAAACCUCUUUUCUUUAUAAAUUAGCCAGUCUCAGGUAUUUCUUCAUAGCAGUGCAAGGAUGACAGAAUACAGUAUCCUUUUGUGUGCUUAGCCAUUUGUACAUCGUUUCUUAUAGUUUGUGUGUUCAACGUUUUGUCCAUUUAUGAAACUAGUUGAUUUGCUUUCUUAUUGAGUUGUAAGUGUUUUUUAUGUAUUGCAGGGAAAGUCCUUUGUCAUUUAUAGGCAUUGCAAUUAUUUUCUCACAGUCUGUGGCUUGUCUUUUCAUCGAUUUAAUGAUGUCUUUGGAAGACAAAAAAAUUUAAUUUUUAUGACAUCCAAUUUAUCAACUUUUUUAUAGUAACUGCCUUUUCUGUCCUAAGAAAUGUUUGUUAACUCAGAAUCACAAA
ensembl:lncRNA novel transcript